AACAUACAUCAGUGACCAAGUCACACCUCGUUGCCAAAGGAGGGACACAUGUCACAAUCCCAUGAACAGUCUGAAGGUGGUUCUGUCUACAAAGCUCUACAAAGUACUAGGCUUCCAAGUGAAUAAAAGGCACACAGUUGCCCAGGAGGAAGAUAUUAGAGAGAGUGGAGUCUCACUUACAGAUAAGGAAAAUGCAGGCCAAAGGUCAGCCAACUUUGCAGGAUGGCAGAGGACACUGAGAAAGUGUCCCAGUGACCGCUACUAAACAAGGCAGAAACGGUUCCUAAAGAAACCUGGAUUCCAGUGAGCCCGUGGAACAGCGUUUAAAAGAGUGCCAAUGCUCAAGAUGCUACACAGAAGACAUGAUGAAAACUAACUAAACUGGCAAAGUGGAGUAGAAGGUGGGACAGUUAUCCAGUGAAUUUGGGCAGCUUUCUAAAACUGGAAGAAUUUCCGUCAGAAGGGUUCUAAGCAUAAACUAUUUUUGGAAAUGUCUCGAGAUCACAGAAGAGGAAAAAAGGGGAGGAUCUGAAAGAAACCUUUGUAAAUAGCUCUCUACAGUUGAGGUGAUAUGGUCUGAACUCUCUAAACCACACAAUUCAGCUUAUAAUAAUCAAGAAUGUUAAGGGAAGCGGUGAGAAGGAGUAACAAGUGACUCCUUAAAAAUAAACUUUGUUCCUAACUUGAGCAACAAAAUAAACAAAGGAUUGGAUUAUAACCCAAAAUAUAAAGCAUAUAACCAUAAGUGCACACUGAUAUUAAAUUUUAAAUCAGAGUGAGUGAAGGAAUGAAUGAAUGGCAAAUAAACAAACCUCCCUUGUAGAAUUCUAAACAAUUGAUGUAGAUACUUUGCCUUUAAGGAGGUGAAGUAUAAUUUCCCACUCAC